UGAGAGUCUGCAGGACGCGCUGCGCGUGGCAGGACUCCACACACGGCUCUUCAGAGCCCAGCUCCGACUCCUCCGCCCCUGGGCCCUCCAGCAUCCUGCCAGGCAGAGAUCCUGGAGAGGGUAGAUAGGACAUCAAUUUCAGUAGGAUGACCAGUUGCCUCACAGAGACAUGAAAAGGCCAUCUCCUGGACUGCUGCAUGGAUUAAAAGCCCCUAGCAUGUUGCCAGAUAUACAAUAAGUGCUUAAUAAAUGACAACUGUUAACUCUG